rnacentral:pre_miRNA from 1 species
GGUUUUCUUGGAUCUCUCUCUCCCUUGAAGGCUAUCUCAUGGAGGUUUGAUGUACACCAUUGUUGCCUAAGAAACUGAGAAAGCCUUCGGGGGAGGAGAGAAGCCAAGCAAGCC